rnacentral:rRNA from 1 species
AUGUACUGCUAUGACGCCACCAAGGGCAAGCCUGAGGGCGGUCUUAGUCCUGGACAGCAAGAAGCUUUUGAGAUGAUGAAUAGCCUCUUCGAGAGCGCCCUUCUAAGUGUUCUUGAUGAUUCCAUUGAUGAUCCGUAUAUGUCGUUUAACAACGGAAAAGACAUGUGGGCUGCGCUCGAGGCCAGUUUUGGAGCCUUGGACGCUGGCAGCGAGUUGUACGUCAUGGAGCAAUACUAUGACUACAAGAUGACUGAUGAGCGCUCUGUUGUUCAGCAAGCUCAUGAGAUACAGUCGCUCGCAAAGGAAUUUGAGUACUUCAAGUGUGUGUUACCGGAGGCAUCACUGCCAAGGUUCCUCCUUCGUGGAACAAUUUUGCUACAUCUCUGA